UUGGCUUUUCUUUUUUUAGAGGGCAUGGAAUAGGCCGAGGGAGGGGCAGCGCGUGAAAGGGAGCGUUGGUGGGGUGGUCGUUGGGGGGCUGGUUGCCGGGUGGGCCGAGGCCGCGCGGACGGCCAGGGCGGAGGAAGGCCGAGGCCACGCGGACGGCCAGGGCGGAGGAAGGCCGAGGCCGCGCGGACGGCCAGGGCGGAGGAAGGCCGAGUGGCGGCGGGGUCGGAGGAUGCCCGCGCCCCGGCAGCCGCGCUCCGGCGGCGGCGGGGGUGGAGGAGGACCGGGCGGCCGCUGGGACGGAGAAGGACGGCACCGCCGGCGGAGGAGGUCCGUGCGGCGCGGGGACGGAGGAAGGCUGCGCUCCGGCGACGGAGGAGGUCCGUGCGGCCCCGGGGACGGAGGAAGGCCGAGUUCCCGUGAAGGCGGUGCUCCAUCGUUGGGAGGAAGUGGGUGGCUGGCUACACAGCGGCGGAGGCGACUAGGUGAGGGGAGGAGACCGAGGACCAGCUACUAGGGCCGAGUAGGACGACGAGCGGAGGAGGGAGCGCAUACGUAGUUGUUUUUUAUCCACCCAGCGACUUCAGGUUCAGCACGGUAUCGUCAUCCCGCUGAGAAGAUCCUGCGUAGAGUGCGAGUUGGCCGAGGUUAAAACGCGCGUACCCCAACCACGACGAGGUCGCUCGAGGAGGUAGGGGUCGAACAGGGACUUACACCUGCGACGUGGCGCGUCCAACUUAAAGUGGGACGUAGGGGCUGCAUCUCGACGAGGCCGAGGAGGGGGCGAACGACGGUCCAGACAGAGAGGAAGGAGGGGACGAGCGGCAGGACACGCCGCCACCUGCACCGAUGAACUACCUCACUUCGGCCGGAGGCUCGUGGCCGUCAACGUGACGUGGGACGUUUUUUUUCUUGUCGGCGUUCAAGUAUUAGUCUUUUUACUCCUCAAGUUCUUCUUGUUUCCCUGUUGGUACAACUACCGCUAACUUUUUCCUAAGACUUUAUUAUAAUAACUCUGACUUCUGGUUCAAACUAUUACGUGCUACAGUCUCCUAAGGUCCCGAAAGAGACUCCACCAACUACCGAAGGCUCUUUACGCAAGUAUAGAAUGUUCAAAGUCCCCAAGUUCAAGUAGAUAUAUUCUUCCUUACGGUUAAAACAACGUGUAGACACACACUUUCUCCGCGAUUUUGAACUACACGAAUGAUAAAGAAAAGAACAUUGUGGAUCGAUGUAGUGCACCAAAGUUAUAAAAACUGACGGUACCGGGCUGUGGAGGAGGUAGAACCACGGCGGCAGUACUGGAUCGGAUGUAAACGACCAACGACGAUCGACGACAACAACGCAGGACGGAGCGGCAGAUUGACUACAAUCACGCG
rnacentral:rRNA from 1 species